AUGAAGGAUAUAGCAAUUGAGAGUUUAUGGUGUAAUGAAGUGGGGGAUUUGAAGGAGGGUAUUGGAGUGACAUUGGCAUGUCUUUGUAGGCUAGCAGUAAUCGGUUUUGGGACAUCAGUACCAGGUUAUCUAUGUAGGGGCUAUUUUUGGCUAUUUUGGAACAUGAAAUCAGACGGAAAGAGACAAGGCAGCAAUGGCAAGUUUGACAGUAUGAGGGCUGGUUUCUUGAUAUGGUUUUGGAGUGGAGUGGGCAAGUCUAUGGACUGGCAUAGUUUUGGUAAUGUAGUGAUCAUGGUUGAUGCAAGACUUUGGGCCUGUUUUAAACAAGGUUCUUGA